AUUGAACGCUGGCGGCAGGCCUAACACAUGCAAGUCGAACGGUAACAGGAAGCAGCUUGCUGCUUCGCUGACGAGUGGCGGACGGGUGAGUAAUGUCUGGGAAGCUGCCUGAUGGAGGGGGAUAACUACUGGAAACGGUAGCUAAUACCGCAUAAUGUCGCAAGACCAAAGAGGGGGACCUUCGGGCCUCUUGCCAUCGGAUGUGCCCAGAUGGGAUUAGCUUGUUGGUGGGGUAACGGCUCACCAAGGCGACGAUCCCUAGCUGGUCUGAGAGGAUGACCAGCCACACUGGAACUGAGACGCGGUCCAGACUCCUACGGGAGGCAGCAGUGGGGAAUAUUGCACAAUGGGCGCAAGCCUGAUGCAGCCAUGCCGCGUGUAUGAAGAAGGCCUUCGGGUUGUAAAGUACUUUCAGCGGGGAGGAAGGGAGUAAAGUUAAUACCUUUGCUCAUUGACGUUACCCGCAGAAGAAGCACCGGCUAACUCCGUG
rnacentral:rRNA from 1 species